rnacentral:rRNA from 1 species
AACGGUGGGCACUAGUUGUGGGGACCUUCCACGGUCUCUGCGACGCAGCUAACGCAUUAAGUGCCCCGCCUGGGGAGUACGAUCGCAAGAUUAAAACUCAAAGGAAUUGACGGGGCCCCGCACAAGCAGCGGAGCAUGCGGCUUAAUUCGACGCAACGCGAAGAACCUUACCAAGGCUUGACAUAUACAGGAAUAUGGCAGAGAUGUCAUAGCCGCAAGGUCUGUAUACAGGUGGUGCAUGGUUGUCGUCAGCUCGUGUCGUGAGAUGUUGGGUUAAGUCCCGCAACGAGCGCAACCCUCGUUCUGUGUUGCCAGCAUUAAGUUGGGGACUCACAGGAGACUGCCGGGGUUAACUCGGAGGAAGGUGGGGAUGACGUCAAAUCAUCAUGCCCCUUAUGUCUUGGGCUGCACGCAUGCUACAAUGGCUGGUACAAACGGCUGCGAUACCGCAAGGUGGAGCGAAUCCGAUAAAGCCAGUCUCAGUUCGGAUUGGGGUCUGCAACUCGACCCCAUGAAGUCGGAGUUGCUAGUAAUCGUAGAUCAGCAACGCUACGGUGAAUACGUUCCCGGGGCUUGUACACACCGCCCGUCACGUCACGAAAGUCGGUAACACCCGAAGUCAGUGGCCCAACCGUAAGGGGGGAGCUGCCGAAG